rnacentral:rRNA from 1 species
ACUACUCUAGGGGGUGGAUCACUCGGCUCGUGCGU